UACGGAGGGUGCGAGCGUUGUCCGGAAUCACUGGGCGUAAAGGGCGCGUAGGCGGCCUGAUAAGUAGGGGGUGAAAUCCUGCGGCUUAACCGCAGGGCUGCCUUCUAAACUGUCAGGCUAGAGCACAGUGGAGGCAGGUGGAAUUCCCGGUGUAGCGGUGGAAUGCGUAGAGAUCGGGAAGAACAUCAGUGGCGAAGGCGGCUCUCUGGGACGGUACUGACGCUGAGACGCGAAAGCGUGGGGAGCGAACAGG
rnacentral:rRNA from 1 species